UAUCUACAAAAUCAAAAUAAAUCUAAGUGAAUCAUCUCCAAAUUUAUCUUGUUUAUUUAAGCGGUUGCGAUUAAGCAGACUGUCAUCUAUUUUACCUUCCGUCCAAACUGACCUGUUUCUGCUUUCGGCCCACUAUCAAACAAGGUAGUGUUAUAAUGUAACAAACGACAAUUAUACCAAUAAGUCAAAGGACAGAUAGUAUUUUCAAAACAAAAUGGUUUAAAACACUGACGAUAAUCCCAUUAAAGAAAAAAAAAAGCCAAAAGAGCAAAACAAUCACUCAAUCCUCCCCUUCGGUCUCCGACUCAGCGCUCUGUAGCCACACCACAAAAGGCUUAACAUUCUUCCAAACAGGCGAGGUCUUGUCAGCUCCGUUCAGACCCUUUUGGUACCAUUCCAACACAAACUCUUCCUCAACAAUGUCUUCAUCGUACAUUCUUCCAAACAGGCGAGGUUUUGUCAGCUCCGUUCAGACCCUUUUGGUACCAUUCCAACACAAACUCUUCCUCAACAAUGUCUUCAUCGUACAGUUCUUUAAGAACCAGAGCCACCUCCUUACCCACCUCAUCGUUUCCUUUCUUUCCAAAGAAUGAUCCGAUUGAGUUGAGCAGAUGCAUCUGUGAACCAUCCUCUUGCGUUGCAGCCGCUAAGUACUUCUUAUUCUUAGUCACUUCUUCAGUAAAUCCUUUGCUUACACCAUCAAAGAGAGCGUUCAAGAGUGCG
rnacentral:lncRNA from 1 species